CCCUAUGGGGUGCAGCAGGCGCGAAACCUUUACAAUGCACGAGAGUGUGAUAAGGGAAUUCUCAGUGCUCAUGCAUUGCAUGGGCUUUUGCCAAAGCUAAAUCCUUUGGCGAAUAAGUGGUGGGUAAGACUGGUGCCAGCCGCCGCGGUAACACCAGCGCCACAAGUGGGGGUCGCGAUUAUUGGGCCUAAAGCGUCUGUAGCCGGCUCUGUAAAUCUUCUGUGAAAUCGUUGAGCUUAACUUAACGGAUUGCAGAAGACACUGCAGAACUCGAGACCGGGAGGAGUUAGAGGUAUUUCAUGGGGAGCGGUAAAAUGCUAUAAUCCAUGGAGGACCACCGAUGGCGAAGGCAUCUAACCAGAACGGAUUUGACGGUGAGAGACGAAAGCCAGGGGAGCAAACCGGAUUAGAUACCCGAGUAGUCCUGGCCGUAAACGCUGUGAGCUAGGUGUUGCGUAAUCUACGGGAUUACGCAGUGUCGAAACGAAGGUGCUAAGCUCACCGCCUGGGAAGUACGGUCGCAAGGCUGAAACUUAAAGGAAUUGGCGGGGGAGCACCACAAGGGGUGCGGCGUGCGGUUUAAUCUAACUUAACGCAGAGAAUCUCACCAGAGCCGACGGCAGGAUGAAGGUCAAUCUGAAGGGUUUACUUGACGAGCCGAGAGGUGGUGCAUGGCC
rnacentral:rRNA from 1 species